AUGUGGCUGCUCCAGGUGUUCGCUUUCAGUUUCUUAGCCCUGUGCGGAGCCCAAGUGCGUGCCCAAGAACCCGAGUUCAGCUACGGCUGCGCUGAAAGCAGCUGCUACCCCGCCACAGGCGACCUUCUCAUCGGCCGGGCACAGAAGCUCUCGGUGACCUCGACGUGCGGACUGCACAAGCCCGAGCCCUACUGUAUCGUCAGCCAUCUGCAGGAGGACAAAAGGUGCUUCAUAUGCAAUUCCCAAGAUCCUUAUCAUGAGACCCUCAAUCCUGACAGCCAUCUCAUUGAAAAUGUGAAGUGUCCGGAGGUGGAGCGGAGGCUGCAAGGGAUCAUUGACCAAAUCCAAGAUGUCCUCAGGGAUGGCAAGGAGAUCAAGUGGCCGAAUGCCCUGUAUCCAGACCUCCACAUGCCCUUUGCGCCAUCCUGGUCUCUGCACUGGGCCUACAGAGACGGACACCUGGGCAACCUGCCAGUUAGCCUGUUGGUAGAAGGAGACAUCAUAGCUCUGAGGCCUGGCCAGGAAUCGUUCACCUCUUUGAGGGGGAUCAAGGAUGAUGAGCACAUUGUCUUGGAGCCGGAAGACCUGUUCCCCCCUUUCUCUCCACCCCCCUCGCCCCGGGGAGAGGUGAAGAAAGGGCCACAGAACCCCCAGCAGCACCGGCUCUUCCGUGUCCUUGAGACCCCUGUCAUUGACAACAUCAGAUGGUGCCUGGACAUGGCCCUGUCCCGCCCAGUUACCGCUCUGGACAAUGAGAGGUUCACAGUGCAGUCCGUGAAGCUGCACUACGCAGUACCCAUUGUCCUGGCCAGCUUCCUCAUCACCAAUGCCCUGCGCUUCAUGUUCAAUGCCCCUGGGGUCACUUUCUGGCAGUACACGCUCCUCCAGCUGCAGGUGAACGGUGUCCUGCCCAUCCUCCCCCUGCUCUUUCCAGUCCUCUGGGUGCUGGCAACUGCCUGUGGAGAAGCCCGUGUCCUGGCCCAGAUGAGCAAGGCCUCGCCCAGCUCCCUGCUGGCCAAGUUCUCAGAGGAUACUCUCAGCAGCUACACAGAAGCUGUCUCCUCUCAGGAAAUGCUACGCUGUAUUUGGGGCCACUUCCUGAGGGUGAUCAAGGGGACGUCACCAACGCUGAGCCAUAGUUCCAGCCUGCUGCACAGUUUAGGCUCUGUCACGGUCCUAUGCUGCAUAGACAAACAGGGGAUCCUUUCAUGGCCAAAUCCCAGCCCAGAGACUGUGCUGUUCUUCAGUGGGAAGGUGGAGCCCCCUCACAGCAGCCAUGAGGACCUCACAGGUGACCUAUCCACUCGUUCCUUCUGCCAUGCUGAGCCCCAUGAACGAGAUGCCCUCCUGGCUGGCUCCCUGAACAACCCCCCGCACAUUUCCAACGAGCAGGAGCGUAGUGACUGGCCUGGUGAUGGCCCCAAGGCCCCUGAGCCUUACUCUCACCACAAAGUGCAUGGCCACAGCAAGCACCCGUCUGGCUCCAACAUGAGCUUCAGCAGGGACACUGAAGGUGGUGAAGAUGAGCCCAGCAAGACACAGCCAGGGAUGGAGGGCGAACCCUAUGAAGCGGAGGACUUUGUGUGUGACUACCACUUGGAGAUGCUGAGCCUGUCCCAGGACCAGCAGAAUCCCUCCUGCAUCCAGUUCGAUGACUCCAACUGGCAGCUGCACCUCACCUCCCUCAAGCCCCUAGGCCUCAACGUGCUGCUGAACCUGUGCAAUGCCAGCGUCACCAAGUGCCUAUGCCGGUUCUCAGACCACCUGUGCAACAUCGCCCUGCAGGAGAGCCACAGCGCCGUGCUGCCGGUGCACGUGCCCUGGGGCCUCUGUGAACUCGCCCGCCUCAUCAGCUUCACUCCUGGCACCAAGGAUCUCUUCAAACAAGAGAACCACCUUGCGCUGUACCGCCUCCCCAGCGCUGAGACAGUGAAGGAGACCUCACUAGGGCAUCUCUCCUGCGUCACCAAGCGAUGCCCUCCCCUCAGCCACAUGAUCAGCCUAUUCAUCAAGGACACCACGACCAGCACAGAGCAGAUGCUGUCCCAUGGCACAGCCGACGUGGUCUUGGAGGCCUGCACAGACUUCUGGGAUGGAGCUGACAUCUGCCCUCUUUCUGGUUCCGACGGAAAGAAAGUGCUGGAUUUCUACCAGCAAGCCUGCCUGUCGGGUUAUUGCUCCGCCUUCACCUACAAGCCCAUGAACUGCGCCCUGUCCUCUCAGCUCAAUGGCAAGUGCAUCGAGCUUGUGCAGGUGCCCGGCCAGAGCAGCAUGUUCACCAUGUGCGAGCUUCCCAGCACUGUCUCCAUUAAGCAGAACACCAGCCGCAACAGCUGGAGCUCUGACAAAGGGAUCGGGGAGGUGCUGGAGAAGGGAGACUGCAUGCAGGCCCUAAGUGGCCAGAUCUUCAUGGGCAUGGUGUCCUCCCAGUACCAGGCCCGGCUGGACACUGUACGCCUUAUUGAUGGGCUGGUCAAUGCCUGCAUCCGCUUUGUCUACUUCUCUUUGGAGGAUGAGCUCAAAAGCAAGGUGUUUGCAGAAAAGAUGGGCCUGGAGACAGGCUGGAACUGCCAUAUCUCCCUCACGCCCAGUGGUGACAUGCCUGGCUCUGAGAUCCCCCCUUCCAGCCCCAGCCAUGCAGGCUCCCUGCAUGAUGAGCUGAAUCAGGUGUCCCGAGAUGAUGUGGAAGGGCUUCUCCUCAUGGAGGAGGAGGGUCAUUCGGACCUUAUCAGCUUCCAGCCUACAGACAGCAACAUCCCCAGCUUCCUGGAGGAUUGCAACCGGGCUAAGCUGCCUUGGGGUAUCCACCAGGUACGGCCCCACCUGCAGAACAUUGACAACAUACCAUAUUCCAUGGAGUAUGACAUUCUAAUUUGCUAUGAGCCACAGCUACCUGACCACUGGGAAAAAGCCGUUGUCAUGGUGCAGCGACCUGGAAAGAUUCCAACCAGCAGCCAAUGUGGUAAUAUUGUUCCCAAUGAUGACAACCAGGUGGUGUCCUUAUCACCAGGCUCAAGGUAUGUUGUACUUUCUCGCCCGGUGUGCUUUGAGAAGGGCAUGAACUACACGGUGAGGUUAGAGCUGCCCCAGUACACCUCCUCUGAUAGUGAUGUGGAAAACCCCUACAUGCUCAUUGACUCGCUCGUUCUCAUGCCGUACUGUAAAUCACUGGACAUCUUCACCGUGGGAGGCUCAGGAGAUGGGGUGGUCACCAACAGUGCCUGGGAAACCUUUCAGAGAUACCGAUGUCUGGAGAACAGCAGAAGCGUUGUGAAAACGCCAAUGACAGAUGUUUGCAGAAAUAUAAUCUUUAGUAUUUCUGCCCUGUUACACCAGACAGGCCUGGCUUGUGAAUGUGACCCUCAGGUUUCAUUAAGUUCUGUGUGUGACCCCAACGGAGGCCAGUGCCAGUGCCGGCCGAACGUGAUUGGAAGAACCUGCACCAGGUGUGCACCUGGAACCUUCGGCUUUGGCCCCGGUGGAUGCAAACCUUGUGAGUGCAAUCUGCAAGGAGCUGUCAAUGCCUUCUGCAAUCCUAUCACUGGCCAGUGUCACUGUUUCCAGGGGGUGUAUGCUCGGCAGUGUGACUGGUGUUUACCUGGGUACUGGGGCUUUCCGAGUUGCCAGCCCUGCCAGUGCAAUGGCCAUGCUGAUGACUGUGACUCAGUGACAAGGGAGUGCUUGAGCUGCCAGGACUAUACCACAGGUCACAACUGUGAAAGGUGCUUGGCUGGUUACUACAACUUGAAUUUAUCAAGAACUCAGAUAUUCCGGGCGCCUUGGAUAGCAUUACCAAGUAUUUCCAGAUGUCUCUUGAGGCAGAAGAGAAGGUAA